AUGUCGGCAGGUAUAUUUAAGCUGGGAACGGAUAACGUUAUUCUCUGAAGGCUCACAACAGCAGUUGGAAAAUUUUCCAAAUUUUUAUCAAUGGAAAUAGGAAGUUUCUUAUGUUGUAGCACUGCACCAUGCCACGCAAGAUUCACGAGCUUUGUGCCUCUCUGCAAAAAUUUGAAGCCGCGGUGCGAUGUUAGUUUCCUACAGAACUCCUCUUCCAAGAUUAGCCGGCAAAAGCAAAGUAUUCCAAUGUUUUUAGAAAAAAGGAACGCGUUUCAAAGUAUUUGUAAGGCAAGAGGAAAAACAAUCUCUCUAACAGAUGACAAGUUAACAAUGGAGGUUGAAACCCCAGGAGGCGAGGCAACAGAAGAUCUGGACAAUUUCCCGACUCUUGCCGGCAUUUCAUCAGAGUACAUCGAAUCAUUGCCUCCCCCAGUAAAGAAACGAGUAGAAGCAUUGCAAGAACUGCAGGGUCAACAUAAGGAGCUAGAGAUCAAUUAUUUUGAAGAAAAGGUUGCCUUGGAGAUCAAAUAUCAAAAUCUUUAUGAACCUCUCUACAAGAAGCGUUAUGACAUUGUGAAUGGAGUAGUGGAUGUUGAAGACGCUAAAAAGCAAGAAGCUGCUGAUCUUGAAGAGGGAGUUCCUGAAUUUUGGUUGACGGCCAUGACAAACAAUGACACUUUGGCAAUGCAGAUAACAGAACGCGAUGAAGAUGCCUUGAAAUUCUUGAAGGACAUAAGAUAUUCUCCUUUUGACAGUGACAAUCACGAGAGUGGUUUUAAGUUAGAAUUUUUCUUCAGUGAGAACCCUUAUUUUAAGAACAGUGUGUUAACAAAGAUAUACUACAUGAUAGAUGAAAAUGAACCUAUCUUGGAUCGUGUGGUAGGAACCGAAAUUGAUUGGUUACCUGGAAAGAACCUUACACGAAAGGUCUUGAGGAAGAAGCCAAAGAAAGGAGCCAAGGAUGUAAAGCCAGUGACCAAAAUUGAGAAAUGCCAGAGCUUUUUCAAUUUCUUUGAUCCACCCAAGUUUCCUGAAGAUGAUGAUAUUGAUGAAGAUGCUGCUGAGGAAUUUCAAAAUGCGAUGGAGCAAGACUUCGAGAUUGGAUUUACAAUCAGGGAUAAGCUUAUCCCCCAUGCAGUGUCUUGGUUCUCUGGGGAAGCAAUUGAUGCUUUUGAUGAUGAGAAGCUUUUUGAAAAUGAUCUAGAUUGAGGAAGAGGAUGAAAAUCACAAACAGAAAAAACCAAUUGCCACCAAAAUGUUUAGGCAUUGUGUUCUUUUCAAUAUAACCAAAAGGAGCUUAUCUCCUCUUAUAUGGCUGUAGAAUGGUUUCAAAAUCCAGCAUAGAUUUUGGUGAAGCAUUUAUUCUUGCUAUAUUUUCUGUUCUCUAAUCCACCGAGCUUUCCUUUUACAAGGUUUUCCAUUCAACAGAUUGUUCUAUUAGGAUAUGCUUGUCCAAUAGGAUUUUAUAAAAGUUCAAAGAAUUUUUGGUGGUUAGAUUUUUAGAAACAACCACCUGUGUUCAAGCAACCGUAAAGUAUUCACAAGAAGCACCUGAGUUCAAUUGCAUAUUUUAUGCGCUUCAGCCAUGUAAGAGGGAAUUUUUAAGAUAUACGCGGAAGGUAGUUUGUAUUUCAGAAUAGUUCCUUACAGGUUUGAGACCCUUGCUAUUGUCAAGAAUAGUUCUUUUUGUGGCCUAUAGUUUUGUUAUUUAUUGAUUCAUUUUGAAUAUUUAUGAUCAAAUUUCAUCUAA